CAGUCGCCACGGUAAUACGAAGGGGGCUAGCGUUGCUCGGAAUGACUGGGCGUAAAGGGCGCGUAGGCGGCGGCCAAAGUCAGGCGUGAAAUUCCCGGGCUCAACCUGGGGGCUGCGCUUAAUACAGGCAGUCUAGAGUGAGGAAGAGGGUUGUGGAAUUCCCAGUGUAGAGGUGAAAUUCGUAGAUAUUGGGAAGAACACCGGUGGCGAAGGCGGCAACCUGGUCCUUGACUGACGCUGAGGCGCGAAAGCGUGGGGAGCAAACAGGAUUAGAUACCCCCGUAGUCCCUGUCUCUUAUAC
rnacentral:rRNA from 1 species